rnacentral:lncRNA from 1 species
CUGUGUUUGACCCGUAUCUAUUUUCAUUACUUAUCUUCCCUUCUUAGUUCUCUGGGAGACUAACCUCUGUGGCUUAAGCACCCAGACUCUGACAGACAGCUGAGUUUGUCCAAUGGGAGGCACCAGGAGGAGACUUGAUUAUGGGACAACAGGAGGAGAAGAAGUUUGGAGUACCGGCCUCUAUCCUUCCUGCUGUCUAGUUCCAUCUGGCUUUUAAUUUGUAAAUUUGCCUCUGUGCUCUGUUGGUGCAGAUAGACAAGAGCAUGUCUGAAGACUUCAGUGAAGUCCGCUUGUAGAGGUUCUGUGUUUGGGAUUGGGGUCUCUGAUAAACUUUGUGACUGUGGCAUGCUUGACUGCUAUGAAGUUUCUUUGCAAAACAUGGAAUGCCUGACUGCUGGGAAACUUCUGUGCAAAGACACAGGAUGCCUGCUGCUGUAGAAUGUCCUUGAGGAGGAAACUCUGUCGAAGUCUUAUCAGUUUGGAUCUUCAUCUCAGGCACACAGCUCCUGGGAAGAGAAAGACUCCUAGUUAUUCUGACCAUGAAAUUGUACCUGAAAGCAUUCCUCUGGUGAAUACCCGGGGGGCAACUGGCACUCUGUUUCCCAAGCUUGGAAGGCUCAGUAGUUUUCUCCUUGAACCUGGUAAGAUAACUAACACAGGUGCAGUAUCUAGUUACUAUGGUAAUGUCCUUCAAUAAGAGAUUCUAUGAUCUCAGAUACCCAGCACCUGGGAUUAAAGUAAUACUAAAUAAUAAUGUAGUCAUGACACUAAUGACCUAAUGUAACCUUUUGUGAUAAAUAAAUGAGUCUACUUGGAGGGGUGUAUCUUAUCUCUGUG